UAGGCUUUCAGAAGGAAGAGUGUAACCACAGUCAUCGUACUUGUCAUUGGGGAGUUUUAGGUUUGUUUGUUUUUUCAAGCCGGCUGAGGCAAAUAUCGUGUGGGCUGUGCUGAGCUUCCUUACUGCUGCCCCUCUGGUCUCCGGCAGAUCACGUUUCUGUUUCUCAUGCGUGAUUGGAAAGAUAUACGUUCUCGUAGCUCGGACAGCUUGGUCUCUCUGCAAGGUAGCCGUUAACAUACUGGGAGGUGAGUGAGCCAGCUGUCUUUACUAGUCAAGUCCAACUACAAAGCCGGCCUUCUCCGCUGGGGGAUCUUUAGUUCGGGUUAUUCUGAGAGGGGAUCGAGGGCGACUGGCAGGAGGCGAAGAGUCUGGUGGAGGAGCAGCUCAGCAGCUGUAGUAGAAAACAUCGGUUCUUCAUCAAAGGCGAAACAAUGGAAAGCGUGUCGAAACCUCGGCCCAUUGAUGAUUGCAACAUAACCCAACCAAUUCCAGCAAGUAAAGAUGAACCUGUUGUGAUCCCUGUGGAGAAGACUUCUACCACUAUGAAGCAGGCCAGAAGACGACAGCGCAUUGACAGUGGGAACAGAAGCUUUACAUGCGAUCAGUGUGGAAAGGCUUUUACUCGUAAUAGCAGUUUAACACAACAUCAGCUCAUCCACACUGGAUUAAAACCAUUCAGCUGUGAUCAGUGUGGAAAGGCUUUCACUCACAAUGCCAGCUUAAAAAUACAUCAGCUCGUCCACACUGGAUUAAAAGCAUUCAGCUGUGAUGAGUGUGGAAUGUCUUUUGCUGAGAAUAGCAAGUUAAAAAGACAUCAGCUUGUCCACACUGGCAUUAAACCAUUCAGUUGUGAUCAGUGUGGAAGGGCUUUCACUCAGAGUAGCAGCUUAAAAAAACAUCAGCUCAUCCACACUGGAUUAAAAGCAUUCAGCUGUGAUCAGUGUGGAAUGUCUUUUUCUUGCAAUGGCAACUUAAAAAGACAUCAACUCGUUCACACUGGCAUUAAACCAUUCAGUUGUGAUCAUUGUGGACAGGCUUUUACUCAUAAUAGCAAGUUAAAAAAACAUCUGCUCAUCCACACUGGAUUAAAAGCAUUCAGCUGUGAUCAGUGUGGAAUGUCUUUUACUGAAAAUGGCAAUUUAAAACAACAUCAGCUCGCUCACACUGGAUUUAAACCAUUCAGCUGUGAUCAAUGUGGCAGGGCUUUCACUCAGAGUGGCAGUUUAAAAAAACACCAGCUCAUCCACACUGGAUUUAAACCAUUCAUCUGUGAUCAAUGUGGCAGGGCUUUCACUCAGAGUGGCAGCUUAAAAAAACAUAAGCUCAUCCACACUGGAUUUAAAGCAUUUAGCUGUGAUCAGUGUGGAAAGACUUUCACUGAGAAUGGCAACUUAAAACAACAUCAGCUCAUCCACACUGGAUUUAAACCAUUCAGCUGUGAUCAAUGUGGCAGGGCUUUCACUCAGAGUGGCAGCUUAAAAAAACAUCAGCUCAUCCACACUGGAUUGAAAGCAUUUAGCUGUGAUCAGUGUAAAAAGACUUUCACUGAGAAUGGCAACUUAAAGAAACAUCAGCUCAUCCACACUGAAUUAAAACAGUUUAGCUACAAUCAGUGUGGAAAGACUUUCACUGAGAAUGGCUUAAAAGAAAAUCAGCUCAUCCACACUGGCAUUAAACCAUUCAGCUGUGAUCAGUGUGGAAAGACUUUCACUGAGAAUAGCAGUUUAAAAAAACAUCAGCUCAUCCACACUGGAUUAAAACCAUUUAGCUGUGAUCUGUGUGGAAAGUCUUUUACUCGGCGUAGAACCUUAAAAGAACAUCAGGCCAUCCACACUGGAAUUAAAUCAUUUGUCUGUGGUCAGUGUGGAAAGGCUUUUACUCAGAGUAAAACUUUAAAAGAUCAUCAGCUCAUUCACACUGGAAUUAAACCAUUCAGCUGUGAUCAGUGUGGAAAAUCUUUUACUCGGUGUAAUAACUUGAAAGAACAUCAUCUCCUCCACAUUGGAGUUAAACCAUUCACCUGUGAACAGUGUGGAAAGUCUUUUACUCGGCGUAGAACCUUAAAAGAACAUCAGGCCAUCCACACUGGCAUUAAACCAUUUGUCUGUUGUCAGUGUGGAAAGGGUUUUGGUCGCAUGGAUGCUUUAAGAAAUCAUCAACUAAUCCACACUGGAGUUAAUUAAUUUUUAAGUGGUCAGUGCUAAAAGGCUGUUACUUCUAUGUACAUGUUUUAAAAAAAAAAUCAGAUCGUUCACACUGCAAUUAUAGUGUGUAUUGAUUUAUGGUAAUUGUGAAAUUUGUGGAAAUUCUUUCAUUUAUAACAAAUAUUAUUGAGUCAUUAGAAAAUCCACACUAUAUGUCCUGCUAUGACAAAACUAGCAGACCAAUGUGACAUUACUCUGACAAAGUUCUUUUGGACAUCCUGGUCAAUCAUCUUAAGUUUAAGAUUGCAGACUCCUAUAGCUGUCAUGGUACUGGGUCUUGACCCAGUUUUUUGUGCUUUUGGACAUUAGCUGUUUCCAGCUUCAGUUUUAUUGAAUAUUGUAAUAUUUAGUGUUUAUUUCUAUUUCUGUUCUUGUAUUUGUUUUUCUGCUUUAUGUAAUAUUUGUAAUUUCUAGUCUUUAGGUUCUGUUAUCAUACCUUCCCUCUUUUCCACAUUCUGUGUUUUAUCAGCCUUUACUCCAAGUUUGUUUUACUUUCAAAUUUUAAUUUUAUUCGCCACAUAUAAAGUCAUACAAACUACGAUAUUCAGUGAAAUGCUUGUGUCCAAACUGCGUUUGGUGUUGCUCUUCUGUCUUCCCAGUUUGCCUUGUUCCCAGCUUAGUUUCUUACUUUUAGUUUUUGUGUUCAGCAAUUUGGACAUAGCUAUUCUUGUUUCAUCAUUAUUAUGUUCCUUAUGAAACCUCCAGUUCUUGGGUUGUGUAUGGUUGGGUUUUAUUUAUUAGUAUUUUUGUAUAUUUUGGUGUUUGAGAGUAUUUUUUGCUUCAACAAUAAAUCUGCCUCUUUGCGUUUA